CAGCAGCCGCGGGAAUACAGAGGGUGCAAGCGUUAAUCGGAAUUACUGGGCGUAAAGCGCGCGUAGGUGGUUUGUUAAGUUGAAUGUGAAAUCCCCGGGCUCAACCUGGGAACUGCAUCCAAAACUGGCAAGCUAGAGUAGGGCAGAGGGUGGUGGAAUUUCCUGUGUAGCGGUGAAAUGCGUAGAUAUAGGAAGGAACACCAGUGGCGAAGGCGACCACCUGGGCUCAUACUGACACUGAGGUGCGAAAGCGUGGGGAGCAAACAGGAUUAGAUACCCCAGUAGUCCCUGUCUCUUAUAC
rnacentral:rRNA from 1 species